CAGAUGAUCUUUAUAAUCCCCAAAAAGCUUAAAGCGGGCAAUGGAGUGGACUUUGAAACAGCAAAUGGGCGACACAAUUUCAAAAAUAAGAAAUUUUCAGAUCCGGCUACCGUCACUAAAUGGAAAGAUGAAAGAAUGGUAAGAUUUUAUUGCUGACUUCAUUACUAUUGCCGAUUGUUUCUGUUCCCUCAGAAAGCUUUUUAUACUGAAGAAACACCGUUUCAAGUACUCCAUGGUCAUACUGGAGAUGUCUUGGACUUGGCAUGGUCAGACUCAAAUUUGCUUCUUUCAGCUUCUAAAGACAAGACAGUUCGGCUAUGGAGAGUUGGUUGUGAUGAGUGUCUUCAUAUCUUCCAUCAUAACAACUACAGUAACUUUUUGAACUCUUAACUCAGU